GAAGUUGACUCUGCCUAUAGACCAACAUAAAGGAUUGCCCACGAAAAACCAGCAACCAGGAACAGACAAUAGCGAUACCUCUAUGGUAAAUGAAAUCCCAGCUUACAUGUCAAUGCAGGAAAUGCAACCGGUUGCAGCCUCACAACCUCCAAGAAAAGACCGGCACAUGGAAAAUUUAAAAGUCAAUCAAAGUAAUAUAGAUACUAGCAUUGCCGAUCCAUUCCAACAGAGUCACAGAACCGGUUACACUCGUAUCCAGCAACAUACAUCUGCAAAAGGAAUUGGCCACACUUUCUGCCCAGAAAAUGACAAUUUUGAAAACCUUGGGAGGACUAGACAACCGGUUGCAGCCUCACAACCUCCAAGAAAAGACCAGCACAUGGAAAAUUUAAAAGUCAAUCCAAGUAAUAUAGAUACUAGCAUUGCCGAUCCAUUCCAACAGUGUCACAGAACCGGUUACACUCGUAUCCAGCAACAUACAUCUGCAAAAGGAAUUGGCCACACUUUCUGCCCAGAAAAUGACAAUUUUGAAAACCUAGGGAGGACUAGACAACUGAUGACCCAACGUUCUCUGCAAUCAGCACCAUCGACUUCGUUCAGUUCAAAAGAAGUUGGCGGAUCAAAGAGACUGUAUUCUCAUGCAAUGGGUCAGAUGCAGCCUUAUGCUGUAAAUGUAACAGGAUUGUCGUAUCUGAACCAAAAUAUGGUUCAGAUAGAUGGAUGCCACAGGAACACGUGCAUGCAGGGUGCUGAUUGUUUAGAGACGCACAAGAAAAAGAAAAUUGACAAUGAACUACUUACAAUCAUAACAGGCAAGCCUCCUGGUAUUACAGCGGUUCAAGAUGGCUCAAAGCAAACUCAAAGCAAAAUUGUGAGUGAUGUCAGAGGAAAUGGAUUUAUGUAUCAAGCACAUUAUGAUAUACUGAAAUCUUGCCUCAGAAGCAGUAACAUUUCUAGCAGAGAACAGAGUGGGUACAAUAAACUUUUCUUCGACUGGAAUACUCAA
rnacentral:lncRNA from 1 species